CCCUUAGAUGUUCUGGGCCGCACGCGCGCUACACUGAUGCAUUCAACGAGCCUAUCCUUGACCGACAGGUCCGGGUAAUCUUUGAAUCUGCAUCGUGACGGGGAUAGAUUAUUGCAAUUAUUAAUCUUCAACGAGGAAUGCCUAGUAGGCGCAAGUCAUCAACUUGCGUUGAUUACGUCCCUGCCCUUUGUACACACCGCCCGUCGCUACUGCCAACUGAGAUGGGUCCUGAAUUGUUAGGAACGCCCGUCAAGGGGCCUACCCGGUCCCUAGUGCGGUGACGAGAAUAACUGUAAAUGGCAUAUCUUGUAGGGAGUAAAAGUCGUAACA
rnacentral:rRNA from 1 species